UACGUAGGGGGCAAGCGUUAUCCGGAAUUAUUGGGCGUAAAGCGUCCGCAGGUGGCACUUCAAGUCUGCUGUCAAAGACCGGGGCUUAACCCUGGAAAGGCAGUGGAAACUGAAGCGCUAGAGUCCGGAAGAGGCAAGUGGAAUUCCCGGUGUAGCGGUGAAAUGCGCAGAUAUCGGGAGGAACACCAAUGGCGAAGGCAACUUGCUGGGACGGUACUGACGCUGAGACGCGAAAGCGUGGGGAGCAAACAGG
rnacentral:rRNA from 1 species